GCCUUCAUGGUGCAAUGGUCAAGUACACUCGGCGCGUAUUCGAGAGGUCCGUGGUUCGAGUCCUGGUGAGGGCA
rfam:Stegodyphus mimosarum contig115092, whole genome shotgun sequence.